rnacentral:rRNA from 1 species
UACAGAGGUGGCAAGCGUUGUUCGGAAUUACUGGGCGUAAAGGGCGCGUAGGCGGUCUUGUAAGUCUUGUGUGAAAUCCCUCGGCUUAACUGAGGAACUGCACGGGAUACUGCGAGACUUGAGAUCGGGAGAGGGAAGCGGAAUUCCAGGUGUAGCGGUGAAAUGCGUAGAUAUCGUAAGGAAGACCAGUGGCGAAGGCGGGUCUCUGGACAGUUCCUGACGCUGAGGCACGAAGGCCAGGGGAGCAAUCGGG